AUUGAACGCUAGCGGGAAGCUUUACACAUGCAAGUCGAACGAGUGGCGGACGGGUGAGUAAUGUCUCGGAACCUGCCCGAUAGCGGGGGAUAACUACUCGAAACAGUAGCUAAUACCGCAUACUAUCGGAUCUGCCCAUAUCGGAUUAGCUAGUUGGUGGGGUAAAGGCUCACCAAGGCGACGAUCCGUAGCUGGUUUGAGAGGACGACCAGCCACACUGGAACGGAGACACGGUCCAGACUCCUACGGGAGGCAGCAGUGGGGAAUUUUGGACAAUGGGGGAAACCCUGAUCCAGCCAUCCCGCGUGUAUGAGAAGGCCUUCGGGUUGUAAAGUACUUUCGGCAGAGAAGCGGUAUCUGCAGAAUAAGCACCGGCUAACUACGUGCCAGCAGCCGCGGUAAUUC
rnacentral:rRNA from 1 species